rnacentral:rRNA from 1 species
AGAGUUUGAUCCUGGCUCAGAACGAACGCUGGCGGCAUGCCUAACACAUGCAAGUCGAACGCCCCGCAAGGGGAGUGGCGCACGGGUGCGGAACACGUGGGAAUCUGCCCUUUGGUAUGGAAUAACUCAGGGAAACUUGAGCUAAUGCCAUAUGAUGCCGCAAGGCCAAAGAUUUAUCGCCAGAGGAUGAGCCCGCGUCCGAUUAGCUAGUUGGUGAGGUAAAGGCUCACCAAGGCGACGAUCGGUAGCUGGUCUGAGAGGAUGAUCAGCCACACUGGGACUGAGACACGGCCCAGACUCCUACGGGAGGCAGCAGUGGGGAAUAUUGGACAAUGGGCGCAAGCCUGAUCCAGCAAUGCCGCGUGAGUGAAGAAGGCCUUAGGGUUGUAAAGCUCUUUUACCCGGGACGAUAAUGACGGUACCGGGAGAAUAAGCCCCGGCUAACUCCGUGCCAGCCGCCGCGGUAAUUC